rfam:Schistosoma haematobium scaffold545_23, whole genome shotgun sequence.
AUUCAGCUGAAGAGUCCCAUAUAGGUCGAAACGCGUGUCUUGGAU